rnacentral:rRNA from 1 species
AACGAACGCUGGCGGCAGGCCUAACACAUGCAAGUCGAGCGCCCCGCAAGGGGAGCGGCGGACGGGUGAGUAACGCGUGGGAAUUUUCCUCAAGGUACGGAACAACUCAGGGAAACUUGGGCUAAUACCGUAUGAUGUCUAGCGACCAAAGAUUUAUCGCCUUGGGAUAAGCCCGCGUCAGAUUAGGUAGUUGGUGGGGUAACGGCCUACCAAGCCUGCGAUCUGUAGCUGGUCUGAGAGGACGAUCAGCCACACUGGGACUGAGACACGGCCCAGACUCCUACGGGAGGCAGCAGUGGGGAAUCUUGCGCAAUGGGCGAAAGCCUGACGCAGCCAUGCCGCGUGAAUGAUGAAGGUCUUAGGAUUGUAAAGUUCUUUCGCCCGUGACGAUGAUGACGGUAACGGGAGAAGAAGCCCCGGCUAACUUCGUGCCAGCCGCCGCGGU